rnacentral:rRNA from 1 species
GAUGAACGCUAGCUACAGGCUUAACACAUGCAAGUCGAGGGGCAGCAUGGUCUUAGCUUGCUAAGGCUGAUGGCGACCGGCGCACGGGUGAGUAACACGUAUCCAACCUGCCGUCUACUCUUGGCCAGCCUUCUGAAAGGAAGAUUAAUCCAGGAUGGGAUCAUGAGUUCACAUGUCCGCAUGAUUAAAGGUAUUUUCCGGUAGACGAUGGGGAUGGGUUCCAUUAGAUAGUAGGCGGGGUAACGGCCCACCUAGUCAACGAUGGAUAGGGGUUCUGAGAGGAAGGUACCCCCAAUUGGAACUGAGACACGGUCCAAACUCCUACGGGAGGCAGCAGUGAGGAAUAUUGGUCAAUGGGCGAUGGCCUGAACCAGCCAAGUAGCGUGAAGGAUGACUGCCCUAUGGGUUGUAAACUUCUUUUAUAAAGGAAUAAAGUCGGGUAUGCAUACCCGUUUGCAUGUACUUUAUGAAUAAGGAUCGGCUAACUCCGUGCCAGCCGCCGCCGUAA